rnacentral:rRNA from 1 species
CUACGGGGGGCUGCAGUGGGGAAUAUUGCACAAUGGAGGAAACUCUGAUGCAGCAACGCCGCGUGGAGGAUGACACUUUUCGGAGCGUAAACUCCUUUUAUAUAGGAAGAAGAUGACGGUACUAUAUGAAUAAGCGCCGGCUAACUCCGUGCCAGCAGCCGCGGUAAUACGGAGGGCGCAAGACGUUACUCGGAAUCACUGGGCGUAAAGAGCGUGUAGGCGGAUUAAAAAGUCAGAAGUGAAAUCCUAUAGCUUAACUAUAGAACUGCUUCUGAAACUCUUAAUCUAGAAUAUGGGAGAGGUAGAUGGAAUUUCUGGUGUAGGGGUAAUAUCCGUAGAGAUCGGAAGGAAUACCGAUUGCGAAGGCGAUCUACUAGAACAUUAUUGACGCUGAGACGCGAAAGCGUGGGGAGCAAACAGGAUUAGAUACCCCAGUAGUC